AGAUCUAUUUCACCCGAGUGUUACUUAGGAAAACUGUUAUGACGGAAGCCAGGCAGGUGGAGUCUUUUGGUUCUAGUAGGUGGAUUUCUUUGCGAUCCUCCUCGGUCAUUGGGGUAUUUAUUAAGCAGCUACUGGAUGCUGCACUUCUGGGUGCUGGGUUAAAUCUUCAUGUUCUUUCCCAGGGAAGUCAGGAGCUUAACCUCCUGGUCCUGGGAAAGACACUCAGAUCUGAAAUACUCCUCUUUUACCCACCCUUAAAAACCAGCCACCCAGACAAUUGAACAAGGCCUCCAGCGCGGUUUUCUUAGGUAGCUUUCUGGGGUAUGACAUGAUCUGUGCUUCCCCAGGUGUGGUCCCCUGACCAGGAGCACCUGUAUCACCUGGGCACUUUGCAGGAAAUGCAGAUUCUGGCCCCACCCCCUUACUGAUUUGGGCCCACCGAAUCAGAAGCUCUGGAGAUGGGGCGCAGCGAUCUGUGCUUGAGCAAACCCACCACGUGACUCGGAUGCAUGCUAGAGUUUGAGAAGCCUCCAUGAACAGGUUCUCUUGGUGUGCUUUAAAGUGAUAACAGCUUUGCCUCGAAAAGCAGCUGGGUAGCAUUAAAAUACUUGAUGCCUCUCUUUCUCACCUGGAUGCACAUCAGAAUUACUUGAAGGUGGGGGAGGGGGUGGAAAUGUUAAAAAAAAUUCCUCUUGCUGAAGCUCCACCACAGACCAAUUUAAUCAGACCCUGCUGGGGUGGGACCUGGGCUUUUAAAAUUGUUAAUGGUGAUAUUUCUACAAGACUUAAAAGUUGGUUUGAAGACAUUUGGAUGAGGUGGGAAGGGAGAUUCUUUUCAUACGUGGUAUCAGGAUGCCGAGUAGCUGAUUCUAGAAGGCGGUCUCCGAUGUGCUUAUGGAUCACCUGGGAAUAUAGUUAAAACGCAGAUCCUGAUUCACUGGAUCUGGAAUGAGGCUUAUGAUUUGCAUUUCUCAUAAGCUCCCAGGAGACCCCAUUGCUGUUCUGCCCAGAGCACACUUUAAGCAGUGCUGAGUUUAGGACGUUUGCAAUGCUUGUAUUUUCUUUUUAAAUUGUUGAAAACGGCCCACUCUCUAGUUGCAACAUGUAUUUAUUAGAUUAGUUCUCUCAAAAAUCCUUUUGUGGAAGGAGAAGAGGUUGAGAGAAUAGGACGACUAUUUGCAGUCUGGGUCCCAAGGACCGUAUGUAGCUUUACACAAGUAACCCGUUACUCCCUGUCGACUCAGCCAUUUAACUCUGAAGUCGGUUCAGCUGAUAAAAAUCUCUUGCUCAGAGAAACCAUACAUACCAUACAUUUCUUCUUAUUAGAAUCAGGCGGUUACUGUUGCCGUGGUAAAAAUGUGAUGAGUCACAUUUUAAGUUGUACAAGAAAAUUUGGAAUUGUUUCACACGAGAAGAAACCCGUCGUGGUCUGGCGUGUUUUAAGGACUGUUGAAGAUUCGAAUACCCAAAGCCAGCAAAAGAAUGAGAGAGAGCACAUGAGAGUGGGGAGGGUCAGAGGGAGAAGCAGACUCCACGCCGAGCAGGGAGCCCGAUGCGGGACUCGAUCCAGGGACUCCAGGAUCAUGACCUGAGCUGAAGGCAGUUGCUUAACCAACUGAGCCACCCAGGCGCCCCUCACAACCAGUAUAUUUACCAGUAUAUUACUAUAUUUAUUUAUGUAUGUGUCCUUGUGUAUAACUGAAAUAAAUAACUAAACAACACUUUACUAAAAGGUGUGCAUGCUGAGAUUUUCCAUUCUUUAUUUUUUACAAAAAUGCUGGUCAUGGGUGAAGAGGGUCAAAAGGUACCAACUUCCAGUUAUAAAAUAAAUAAGACCUGUGAUGUCCUGUCCACCCCGGCCACUGUAGUUCAUGCUAUAUUUGAAAGUUGCUAAGAGUGUAGAUCUUAAAAGUUCUCACUAGAAAAAAAGAAUUUGUAACUAUGUAUGGUGAUGAGUGUGAACCAGACUUACUGUGGUGAUCAUUUCUCAAUAUAUAUAUGAAUGCCAGAUCAUUAUAUUGUAUACCUGAAACUAAUAUAAUGUUAUAGGUCCAUUAUAACUCCGUUUAAAAAAAUGCUGGUCAUGUUCCACUGACUUGAUUUUGGAUAUCCUGGGGCUGUCAUCCACAGUAAAAGAACUGUGUUAGCCCGAACUCAGAGACACGGAGUGCAGUGCUGGCUUCCAGGGGCUGAGGGGGGGAGAGAUGGGGAGAUGGUGGUCAGAGGGUGGAAACUUCCACUUACAAGGUGAAUGAGUUCUGGGGAUUGAAUGAACAGCAUGGUAAUUAUCGUAAACGUUGUAUUGUACACUUGAAAGUUGCAAAGGGAGUCUCAAAUGUUCUCAUUACAAAAAAGAAAGGGUAAUUAUGUGAGGUGAUACCAGUAUUAACUAACCCUUUUGUGGUAAUCAUUUCGCAAUAUAUAUGUAUCAAAGCAACACGUUGUAUACCUUAAACUUUUACACAAUGUUAUAGAUCAGUUAAAUGUCAAUAAAACGAGGAAAACAGACAGGGCUAGUGCUCUUUUUUUAAUGGUGCAAUAGCGCCACCUUGUGGGUUUAUCCCAAUUA